UACUGCUAAAAAUAAUUAUCUUUUUUGUAUACAAUUCGAACCAUUAAAAUAAUGCUCAACAAUCCUAUUAGGUACCUCCUCAUCAAAAAUGAAGUCGUUCCUAUUACCGACAUAAUUCAACCCAAUAAUAAUAGUAAAUUCUCUAGGAGUGAAAUGUAGAGAAGUACCAUUAGUCGAAAUUAUUGUAGAAGUAGAACUUUCCUUUGUCUCGAGGGACAUAACACAUCUGCACAAUUGUGCUUGAACUACACAAUGUUUCUUCUUCAUGAAAUACCCAAAAAUAUUAAAUAUUUGUGCUACUCCUUGGUUAAUAUGGCCUAUAAACUUUCCUCAAUAUCAUUAUCACUGUAGCAGCACAUGUGGUGCAAAUCUUAAAACUUUU
rnacentral:lncRNA from 1 species